rnacentral:misc_RNA from 1 species
ACGGGACCGAAGUCGUUCGAAAUAGGCAUUGUGCCUUCAUUGCGGACAAAUAGGAGCUUAUGACUCCGGUGCCCUCAUCGUUUUCUGCAUCCCGACGCCCGAGCGAGAAUUCAUAGGCCACGAAUCCGACACGAAAUGUGUAGAACGUGGGAGACGAAUCUCGUUUCGAGUUUCACCCGCUUCUGCACCGAUAAAACGGGCAGCAUAAGGCGAACAUCCGUAGAUUGACAACCGAAUUCCAUCUAGUAGGUACGAAAGACAGGAAACCCGGGAAAGGCCAAUAGAAAUUGUGCCAACAAUGAAGAGGAUAGCAAGAUAGGACGUCGCCGCUCAAGGCAGGGAUCCAA